rnacentral:rRNA from 1 species
UUGGAGGGCAAGUCUGGUGCCAGCAGCCGCGGUAAUUCCAGCUCCAAGAGCGUAUAUUAAAGUUGUUGCAGUUAAAAAGCUCGUAGUUGAAUUUCGGGAUCAAUAUUUCGGUCAUGCCGUUGGUAUGCACUGUUAUCAUUGAUUUCUCACCUUCUAAAGAACCGUAAUGCCAUUAAUUUGGUGUUACGGGGAAUUAGGACUGUUACCUUGAAAAAAUUAGAGUGUUUAAAGCAGGCUCACGCUUGAAUACAUUAGCAUGGAAUAAUGAAAUAGGACAUCCGAUUCUAUUUUGUUGGUUUCUAGGAUCGAUGUAAUGAUUAAUAGGGAUAGUUGGGGGCAUUAGUAUUCAAUUGUCAGAGGUGAAAUUCUUGGAUUUAUUGAAGACUAACUACUGCGAAAGCAUUUGCCAAGGAUGUUUUCAUUAAUCAAGAACGAAAGUUAGGGGAUCGAAGACGAUCAGAUACCGUCGUAGUCUUAACCAUAAACUAUGCCGACUAGGGAUCGGAUGAUGUUAAUUUUUUAAUGACUCAUUCGGCGCCUUACGGGAAAC